GCCCCCUUGGCCUAAUGGUCAAGGCGCAAGACUUCUAAUCUUGAGAUUGCCGGUUCGAGUCCGGCAGGGGGCU
rnacentral:tRNA from 2 species